AUUUUUGUGUUGCAGCUGCUCCGGAUCAAUUUCGAAAACUCCUUUCGAAAAAAAUAUAAUAAUAUUUUUUUAUCGAGAUUAAUAAUGAUGGGGUGGAUGAACUCCGUAAAAGUAAUUUAAUUAUUUAGUAACUUAGAUGAGGUGGUGUAAUUGUUACAUUUUAGACCUUUUUGUGGCGAAGGGGCGGAGAGAGCGAGCAAUGACGCUCGGGGGAUCGUCGUCGUCGUCGUCGUCGUCGUCGAGCUUAGGGACGCACUCAUACGGGGAGACCGCAUACUGGGACGAUCGCUACCGCAAGGACGGGGGCCCCUUCGACUGGUACCAAAAGUAUGCGCCCCUCUCCCCUCUCUUCGACCUCUACCUCCGCCGCUCCCACCGCCUCCUCCUCGUCGGUUGCGGCAACUCAGUUUUGGGGGAAAGCAUGGUUGAUGAUGGAUAUCAAGAUAUCAUUAACAUAGAUAUAUCUACAGUGGUGAUUGAAGCCAUGCAACAAAAAUACAAAGAUAAGCCAGCCCUAAAGUAUCUUAAAAUGGACGUUCGAGACAUGGCUGGUUUUGAAUCUAAUUCGUUUGAUGGUGUCAUUGAUAAAGGAACUCUCGACUCCAUCAUGUGUGGGCAUAAUGCACAUGAAAAUGCAACUAAGAUGCUGGAGGAGGUUGCCAGAGUUCUCAAGGACAAAGGAGUUUACAUCCUGAUUACGUAUGGAGAUCCAAGUUAUCGAUUGUGUGUACUGAAGAACUUGGACAUGUGGACAAUAAAUAUGCAUGUAAUAGAUUGGACAGAAGUCCGGAGCAGAAAAGUUGGGAACUAACCAAACCAUUGCGGCUAAACGAAGAUGGAACCUCUGUGGCUGCACUUCUCGGUUCGAACCCAGAUGUUCAUUAUAUUUACGUCUGUAUUAAGGAUGAAUCUCUGCGGCAGAAGCGGAAUAACAACAGAGUUGAUCGUGAAGCCAAAGUAGGAUAACUAUUGUGUAUCUUCGUGGCUAAUAAUGGAGGAGGAAACUUGUUGUAUUUCAUAAUUUAAUUCAAUUUUGGGAAGCAGAUGAUCUUCUUCUUCUCCUUCUUCAAAUUAGUCGUAGUGAAAACUGUGAGGCCAGAUUUUGGUUAUAUAUUGUUGUAUACAUUCAUUUGUUACUUGUGGCUAUGUACCUGCUGCUAGUUUUAGGAGCCUGGUCCAAAGGCUUCCUUUGA